AUCUUCGGAUAUGGGUAGAGCGGCGGACGGGUGAGUAACGCGUAGGAAUCUACCUAGUAGAAGGGGAUAGCCCGGGGAAACUCGGAUUAAUACCGUAUACCUCCUUCGGGAGAAAGAAGGCCUCUCUUUGAAGCUUUCGCUAUUAGAUGAGCCUGCGUAAGAUUAGCUUGUUGGUGAGGUAAAGGCUCACCAAGGCGACGAUCUUUAGCGGGUCUGAGAGGACGAUCCGCCACAUUGGGACUGAGACACGGCCCAGACUCCUACGGGAGGCAGCAGUGGGGAAUAUUGGACAAUGGGCGCAAGCCUGAUCCAGCCAUACCGCGUGUGUGAAGAAGGCCCUAGGGUUGUAAAGCACUUUAAGUUGGGAAGAAAAGUUAUUGGUUAAUACCCAAUAACCGUGACAUUACCAUCAGAAUAAGGACCGGCUAAUUCCGUGCCAGCAGCCGCGGUAAUACGGAAGGUCCAAGCGUUAAUCGGAAUUACUGGGCGUAAAGCGCGCGUAGGUGGUUUAUUAAGUUGGAUGUGAAAUCCCCGGGCUCAACCUGGGAACUGCAUCCAAAACUGAUUCACUAGAGUACGAUAGAGGGAGGUAGAAUUCACAGUGUAGCGGUGGAAUGCGUAGAUAUUGUGAAGAAUACCAAUGGCGAAGGCAGCCUCCUGGAUCUGUACUGACACUGAGGUGCGAAAGCGUGGGUAGCGAACAGGAUUAGAUACCCUGGUAGUCCACGCCGUAAACGAUGUCAACUAGCUGUUGGAGAACUAUGUUCUUCAGUGGCGCAGCUAACGUAGUAAGUUGACCGCCUGGGGGAGUACGGCCGCAAGGCUAAAACUCAAAUGAAUUGACGGGGACCCGCACAAGCGGUGGAACCAUGGUGGUUUAAUUCGAUGCAACGCGAAAAACCUUACCUAUACUUGACAUACUUGGAAUGCUUUGUAAAUGAAGCAGUGCCUUCGGGAGCCAAGAUACAGGUGC
rnacentral:rRNA from 1 species